UACGUAGGGGGCAAGCGUUGUCCGGAAUCAUUGGGCGUAAAGAGCGUGUAGGCGGCCAGAUAAGUCCGCUGUGAAAUCUCGAGGCUCAACUUCGAGCUGUCGGUGGAAACUGUCUGGCUAGAGUCCGGAAGAGGAGAAUGGAAUUCCUGGUGUAGCGGUGAAAUGCGCAGAUAUCGUAAGGAAGACCAGUGGCGAAGGCGGGUCUCUGGACAGUUCCUGACGCUGAGGCACGAAGGCCAGGGGAGCAAACGGG
rnacentral:rRNA from 1 species